UAAUUUAUGCUUUCUUUUUAGCAUCUGAAAUACCAUACACAAAUACAUGUCCGAUCUACUAGAGGGCGCAACAAGGUUGGAAGGAAAAUUACUGGCAUUGAGCCUUUACCUGGAGAAAAUAAGGUACUGUACUAUUCAAAACCAGCUUUCUUCACACUUCACAUAGAGUUGAAGUUACUUUAAAUAUCUGGACAAAAAAUGUAUUCCCUUUCUGAUGGAAACUCCUGUUUCUAGCUUUGAGGUCUGUUUGUUUUAUAUGUGUUUAAUGCCCCUUUUUUGGCUUUGAUGAAAAUAGCUUAACUUAGACUAAAAGUUAAUAUUUUUAACUUUUCCUUUUAUUUAUUUUUAGAUACUGGUAACCUCAAAUGACUCUAGAAUCAGACUCUAUGAUCUGAGAGAUUUGUCACUAUCCAUGAAGUAUAAGGGUUAUGUCAAUAGCAGCAGCCAGAUCAAAGCAAGUUUCAGGUAAAUUGACAUUGAGAAAUUCCCAAAAGAGAUCAAAACAUUUUCCCUAUUCCCAUUUUUUUCAUUGAUCUAUGCCUUAUUUUUAUGUGAGGGUUUUAGUUUCUUUGAACUUUGUACCUGGCAUCUCAUAUCAUCAUGCAAUACUUACUUUGUCUACAUGUAUGGUUGAUAAGACUUAGAAUGGCCCCUAUUCUACAGAUGAAGAAACCAAAACCCCAAAAGUUGAUUGGUCAAAGUCACAGUUGCAGAGCCAGGAUUAGAAGACUCUUAGCUUCAAAAUUUUUGCUUUCAUUUGUUAUGUAAGCUUUUAAUAGGAGGAUUACCCCAACACCCCCACCGUUGUCUUUUUCCUUUUAGGUACAAGAGCUCAGAAAGCAAAGUGCCCUAUGUUUACACCUUUACUUAUUAUUAUUUGAACUCUUUUUUUUUUCUUUGUACAAGGGAUUGAUCCCAGGGCCACUUAACCACUGAGCCACAUCCCAGCUCUUUUUUGUAUUUUAUUUAGAGACAGGGUCUCACUGAGUUGCUUAGGGCCCUGCUAAGUUGCUCAGGCUGGCUUUGAACUCAAAAUCCUCCUGCCUCAGCCUGCUGAGCCUCUGGGAUUACAGGUGUGGGUCACAGGCUUCAUUAUUUGAACUCUUAAUUUGUGAUCUGCAGGCUCUCCUUUUGAAAUAGGAUUGCCAGCUUGCCUUUUCUUCUUCCUAGCCAUCUUUCUUUCAGCUCUUUUCCUAUCAGUUGUACUUUUCUUCUUGAAUUCCCUAAUAAUUAACUGGUAAAGUAUUCUGCUUCUCUCAUCCCUUAAGUCAUUGUUUGUUCCCGUGUGAGUUAACUGGCAUCAAAGUGACCAGAGCUUUGAUGAAAAUACAGAUGCCAGGACUAGAGGGGUUAGCUCAGUAAUAAAGCACUUGCCUAGUGUGUGUGAGGCCCUAAUUCGAUCUUCAGGAAGUACACACGUUACACACACACACCAUAUAGCACCCACAUUAGACCACCCACUCAGAACCUCCAGAAUGAGACAAUGAGUCUAGUUUUCAAUAAGCUCCUUCAAGUGUGUCUUAGGUAUUUUAAAUUAGGAAGUACUGGUAGAAAGAAACUUUAAUAUUUUUUCUUUUUUAUUAUUUUUUUACCUUUAUUCCCAAAAUUUAGCCAUGAUUUUACUUACCUCGUUAGUGGUUCAGAAGAUAAAUAUGUUUAUAUCUGGAGUACUUAUCAUGACUUAAGCAAGUUCACUUCAGUCAGGAGAGAUCGUAAUGACUUCUGGGAAGGUAUUAAAGGUAAGCAAAUGCCUACUUAUGUGUAUCUUUAUAAGUGAAUAAAGUGGAGAUUUAUCAGAAUAAAUUUGUAUCAGCAUUAUUUAAGAAGUUUAUCAAUUAUAACUGCUUUACAUCCUAUUUGGCUUUGUUUGUUUGAUUUUUCUAUGCCAAGGAAGAAUUUGUCUUGGUCUAAAAUGUAAGAAUUCAUAGAAUCUUAGAACUUUUAUGUGUUCUAUUUUUUGGUUUUGGUUUUGUUUUGUUUUAGAAAAUACUUCUAGGUUUUAAAUUGCUUUUAGUUACUUCUGUUUGUUUGUUUGAUUGAUUACCUUUUGACAAUACUGGGAUUAAACCCAGGGGUGCUCUACCACUGAGCAACAUCACCAGCCCAUCUAGAUAGGGAUUUGCUAAAUUGGCCAGGCUGCCCUCUAACUUGUGAUCCUCCUCCCUCAGUUUCCUGAGUAGCUAGGAGUAGAUGUGUGUGCCACUGGGCCCAGCUCUUUCAUUAGCUUUUAAGGAUGUUUGGCAUAUAACAUAUAUGUAUGUUAGUUUCUUUGCCCUAUCCCACACAUUGGGGAUUGAACCAGGGGUGCUUUACCACUGAGCUAUGUUUCUGGCCGUUUUUAAAAUUUUUAGUUUGAGUCAGAGUCUUGCUCAGUUGCCCACACUGGCCUCAAACUGGCAAUCCUCCUACUUCAACCUCCCAACUAGCUGGGAUUACAGGCAUGCAUCAUCUUACCCAGCUUGUAUGUUGGUUUUAAAAGAUAUUUUUCAUAUUACCUUUUUGUCUUGAUGUUUAAUAUCAAAUUUAUCAGUUAUCCUAAAGUGAAUUAUUUUCCAGCACAUAAUGCAGUUGUUACAUCAGCCAUCUUUGCUCCAAAUCCAAGUUUGAUGUUAUCUUUGGAUAUGCAAUCUGAAAAAUCAGAAGGGAGUGAUAAAGGUGAAGAUGCUGAAGUUUUAGAUACCACAUCAACUGGUAGGUACCUAUAUUUUAUUUGCCCUAAACUUUUUUCUUGUCACUACUUAGGAGACUCACUAACCUAGUGUUGACUAUGAUGAUAUUUUAAUGAGCAUAAAGAAUAUUUGUUUACAACAUAAUAGUCAUUGUUUGUUCCAGUGUGAGAUAACUGGCACUGGUUGUCAGAUAUUCAUUUUGGAACAUUUUAGUAAAUUUUUUUGCAAAUUUUGCUUUUUUAAUUCAUCUAGGAGUUAAUGAAAAAUUUGAAAGUUCAUAGUUUUUAUAGGCAACCAUUUUCCUCAAAGAAAUGCAAACAGUAUAUGUAAGUACAAAGCUUCUUUAUUAUGUGUCUUUUCUACUAGACUGUAAUCUCUAGAAGAGACUCUGUCUUAUUUUUUCUUUUUCUUUUUGUACCCACACAAUUAUACGUUUCUACACUCAUAUAUGUUUCCCCUUCAUAUUCUACAGGAAAUCCUAGCUAUGGAUUAUUCUCAGAUUUUUUUUUCUUGUUGUUGCUUUGCACCUAUGUUGGUAUAAUCUAAGAUUUUUCUAUUCCAGUACUGGAAAAUAAAGCCAGGAACAAUCAACCACUGAGCUACGUUUCCCACCCAUUAUACACACACACACACAUAUGCACAUAUAUAUAUAUAUAUAUAUAUAUAUAUAUAUAUAUAUAUAUAUAUAUAUUUGUUUGUUUGUUUUGAGACAGGUUCUCACUAUGUUGCUGAGGCUGGCCUCAAAAUUGUGAGCUUCUACCUCAGCCUCCCAAUUUACACCAUCACACGUGGCAGGAAUAAACUCUUAAUCCCAGGGUAUGGAGAACAUAAAAUAUCUGAUUGUCCUCUCUUUCUUCCUGACAUAUUUGACAGUUUGAGCCUGUCAUCCUAGUAUAUAAAAUGGUGGCAAUAACCUGCUUUACAGGGUUUUUUGAUAGGAAUUAAAGAUAACAUUGCAAAGUGUCUAGCAGAAUGCCUGGUAUAUAGUAGAUAUUAUCAGUAUCGUCUUUAUUAUUACAUAGUCUCAAUGCAUUUGUGUAUGAUGAAUUUUUUUCUUCUGUAGCCUUUCUCAUAUACUUAAGUCCUUUGCUACUGCUACACAGCAUGAGUUUGGAUAUACCAGAAGGGUGAUGAGGAAUGCUCAAAGACAUAGAAUAUGUUCUUAGUACAUCUAAGUGAAACCAUUUUGUCUGACUCAUCCUGUAUACUACUUUCCAAUUAAAGUUUAGAUUAUUCUUUUCCUUAUUAAUCAGUUCUUCUUACAUCUAUAAUCUUUACCUAUUUAUAAUAGAAUUAGUUAACACUGAAUUUAUUAAAUGUUUUGACCCAACUGGCAAUUGUUAGAGGUAAGCAUUUUUGCCAUUCGUCAUAGCUAUCUAGAUCUUCAUAUGGAAUGUAAAGGCAAACGGUGAUGUCAGCAUUCAUAGAGCUAAGGUGUUUACUUCAUUUCAUGGCAGUUUUAAUGUGUCUGCAGUACAGUAAACCUUACUGUCACUGUCAUUAGAGACGCUGUUAACAAUAGACUUGCCCAGCUAGUACCAUUCAGCCAGCAUUCCAGUCCUGCUACUGAAUAACACUCUAACCUAUACUCAUGAAACAGAAACAUUAAACGACUUAGAGGCUUAGGCUCCUGAGAGUAAAUCUGGGCCUCCAGGCCCCAAGGAAGAAUAAUACCCUCAAGCCAGGGAAAGAAGAGCUAACACAAAGUUAGUGGAAGUGAACCUCAGAGAGGAGGAAGGUACAGCAGGAUGAACAGGUUACAGGAACAAGCCAGAAAAGACUGUGGGGAAAAGAUCUUCCCCCAAAAAAGUGGAGUGUCAUGGGCAUAUGGUAAUUGUGACAGCAGGCUGCAUUUUCCUUUCAAACUCACUGAAUUUUUUUUUCUCUGCUUUUAAGGUACUGCGAAGACAGACAACACAGAAGUUCUUCUCUCUGCUGACUUCACUGGAGCAAUCAAAGUGUUUAUUAACAAAAGGAAAAAUGUAUCUUAAUUUAAAUUGACAUUUAAAAUAAACAUAUCAGUAAGUUUCUAUAUGUAUCAGAACUGAAAAAAUAUAUAGUAUUUCAGGCUAACAUCCUUUUUUAAUUUUUAUUGAAAGUUUUUCAAAUAUAAUAUAUUUUUUGAGAGGCAGUGUUAAUGAUCUAGGAAAUCCUGGACUGAUAGACUAGAAAAGAAUGUGGCUAGAUUAACAUUGCCAGACAUUAGGCUUUAUGUUUUGUUAUGUUUGUGUUUUUGUUAUAUAAUUAUGAACAUGCACAAGUUUCUGCAUGAAAGAUAUUAAUAUAUUAAUCACAUGUGUGUGCCUUUUGGUUACAUGCACUAAAUCUAAC
rnacentral:lncRNA from 1 species